rnacentral:sRNA from 1 species
AGUUUGUUUAGUGAGGGUCAGGGAAUGUAAUGAAGUGCCAAAAAUUCCACUUGACCUACGUACUCUACAGUCAACAGAAAAGCACUCCAUUUUUGCAGAGCUCUGAGUUAAAUGCACUCCUCAAAGCAGAUCAGCUAUCAACUGGGAAAGCUUAAUGCAGCACAGUUGGACUAGAAGGAUAGUGGCCAAAGCCUCCAAGAACCUCAUGUCCACGCAAAGCUUGGGGAUUGUAUUUGGACCUACCCUUCUGCGAGCUGAAAAUGAAACAGGAAACAUGGCGAUCCACAUGGUCUACCAGAACCAGAUAGCUGAGCUCAUGCUGAGCGAGUACAGUAAGAUCUUCGGCUCAGAGGAAGACUGACAGACAAGACAAGCUACUGAAUACGUUCACAUCUGUCUUGAUGCCUAAUAUUUUUACAUUUCUGUAAACAUAUUUCUGAAAUAUUUUUUGCCUUUCAAGCGACAGAUGCCUCAUUUUGUGAAAACUUAAUGAUGAUUUUGUGUUUAAGUUCCAAACAUUUGAAUAAAAUAAUUGAC